ACCCCAUAGACUAUGGACGCUGGAAUGCCCUGUAGUCGAAAGGUCCGCCGCCGUAGGAUGGGUCUGCGGCCGAUUAGGUUGUUGUUGGGGUAACGGCCCAACAAGCCUGUAAUCGGUACGGGUUGUGGGAGCAAGAGCCCGGAGAUGGAUUCUGAGACACGAAUCCAGGCCCUACGGGGCGCAGCAGGCGCGAAAACUUUACAAUGCGGGAAACCGUGAUAAGGGAACUCCGAGUGCCCGUUAAAUCGGGCUGUCCAUCAGUUUAAAUAACUGGUGAAGAAAGGGCCGGGCAAGACCGGUGCCAGCCGCCGCGGUAAUACCGGCGGCUCGAGUGGUGGCCACUAUUACUGGGCUUAAAGCGUUCGUAGCUGGUUUGUUAAGUCUCUGGGGAAAUCUUCCGGCUUAACCGGAAGGCGUCUCAGGGAUACUGGCAGACUAGGGACCGGGAGAGGUGAGGGGUACUCCAGGGGUAGGAGUGAAAUCCUGUAAUCCUUGGGGGACCACCUGUGGCGAAGGCGCCUCACCAGAACGGCUCCGACAGUGAGGGACGAAAGCUGGGGGAGCAAACCGGAUUAGAUACCCGGGUAGUCCCAGCUGUAAACGAUGCGCGUUAGGUGUAUCAGCGACCACGAGUCGCUGAGGUGCCGAAGAGAAAUCGUGAAACGUGCCGCC
rnacentral:rRNA from 1 species